rnacentral:tRNA from 1 species
GCCCGAGUGGCGGAAUUGGUAGACGCAUGCGACUCAAAAUCGUAUGUCCUAUGGACGUGUGGGUUCGAGUCCCACCUCGGGUA